rnacentral:rRNA from 1 species
AGAGUUUGAUUAUGGCUCAGGAUGAACGCUGGCGGCGUGCUUAACACAUGCAAGUCGAACGAAGCAAUCUAACGGAAGUUUUCGGAUGGAAGCUAGAUUGACUGAGUGGCGGACGGGUGAGUAACGCGUGGGUAACCUGCCUCACACUGGGGGACAACAGUUAGAAAUGACUGCUAAUACCGCAUAAGCGCACAGGACCGCAUGGUCCGGUGUGAAAAACUCCGGUGGUGUGAGAUGGACCCGCGUUUGAUUAGCUAGUUGGUGGGGUAACGGCCUACCAAGGCGACGAUCAAUAGCCGACCUGAGAGGGUGACCGGCCACAUUGGGACUGAGACACGGCCCAA